GACGAACGCUGGCGGCGUGCCUAACACAUGCAAGUCGAGCGAUUUACUUCGGUAAAGAGCGGCGGACGGGUGAGUAACGCGUGGGUAACCUGCCCUGUACACACGGAUAACAUACCGAAAGGUAUGCUAAUACGAGAUAAUAUACUUUUAUCGCAUGGUAGAAGUGUCAAAGCUCCGGCGGUACAGGAUGGACCCGCGUCUGAUUAGCUAGUUGGUAAGGUAACGGCUUACCAAGGCGACGAUCAGUAGCCGACCUGAGAGGGUGAUCGGCCACAUUGGAACUGAGACACGGUCCAAACUCCUACGGGAGGCAGCAGUGGGGAAUAUUGCACAAUGGGCGAAAGCCUGAUGCAGCAACGCCGCGUGAGCGAUGAAGGCCUUCGGGUCGUAAAGCUCUGUCCUCAAGGAAGAUAAUGACGGUACUUGAGGAGGAAGCCCCGGCUAACUACGUGCCAGCCGCCGCAGUAAUAC
rnacentral:rRNA from 1 species